GCGGAUGUGGUGGAAUUGGUAGACACACCAUCUUGAGGGGGUGGCGCCGCAAGGUGUGCGAGUUCGAAUCUCGCCAUCCGCA
rnacentral:tRNA from 1 species